UACGUAGGGGGCGAGCGUUGUCCGGAUUUAUUGGGCGUAAAGCGCGCGUAGGCGGCGCGGUAUGUCGUGCGUGAAAUCUCCCGGCUUAACUGGGAGGGGCCGUGCGAAACUGCCGGGCUUGAGGUCGGAAGGGGAAAGUGGAAUUCCGGGUGUAGUGGUGGAAUACGUAGAUAUCCGGAGGAACACCGGUGGCGAAGGCGGCAUCCUGGACCAAUUCUGACGCUGAGGAGCGAAAGCCAGGGGAGCAAACGGG
rnacentral:rRNA from 1 species